ACUAUUCCAAUAUUAAAUCGGUAUUUAUUUGUCGUAUUAACUUUCAAGUUUAUGUCCUAUUCAAGAAAAUUGAUUAUGUAGUCAGCUCCGCUUUUUUCAAUGUGUUUUAAAAAUUUCAACAUCCUAAUUAUCCUGCACUCUCCGACUAUUUUCAUAGUAAGUCGCAACGUUUUUCGCUUUUAAAGUGAAAGUCGUCGCGAGUGUUUAUUUUGCUGAAAGAUAAUUGGGGGGACAGAAGCCCAGGAUGCUCUACUACGAUUACUGUGUGUGAGGCACUCAAGUGUGUACAAGCGUAUUGCUGUUGCUUACUCAUGUGUGUGUGAGUGUUGUUGCGUAUUUAGAGCACAGGGAAACAGGGAACUCGAGUUCAGUGUGCUUUAUCACGUGAUGAGUGGCUGUUAUGAAAGGAUAGGGAGACGAUGGCAGGGAUAGCAGACAGGAGGCUCUUGAUGAAAGGGAAGGGGAAAUUGAAUUGAUCCUUCCCAUCCCAUUCCCUUUUUCCCUCUUUUCCAUUUUCCCUCCCUUUCACAUGCGCAGUUCUGCCAUUUGGCGGGAAACUGCCAUUGCAUGAGUUCUCUCCAUUUCAUCUCACCAACAGACCUACUGCGGUUCGCCCACGGUAAAUCAAUAACCUUACUAUUUUCAAAUUUUAUAUCACUUACAUUCACAAUUUCUACCAACUAUAGAUGUAAGGUAUAUAUAUAUAUGAAUAAAAUAUGUAUACAAUUACUAAAGUUGAACUCCUAACCUUUCAGUUUUGACUACAUCACACAAACAAAAUUUUGAAUCCGUAUUGAAACUUCCAUACUCUGUGUUUCAACUCAUCAAAAACUCGUUGGACUUUCAAACGUGGGCUACAAACGGCUAUGCUAUACCUAUCUUAAAAUCACAAUUUUCGAGUGUCAAUUUUUGUAAUCAUUAUUGGUGAACAUUAAAGAAAUAUUCUGUGGAAAUUAUAAAUCGAAUUUGAUUUUCCGCUGUGGGAAAUUUGUCCACAGUACGGUAAUUUUGAAUGACUCCCUAAGCAUUCAACAUCUUGUCCGAUAAACGGAUUCUGGUAAUUGGAGACAGUGUGCCCAGAUGAUUGGCAUUUCUACUGGAGUGAUGAUGUUAUAGGUGACCGGAUGCUUCUGCCUGUGAAGUUGACACCUGCAUGGGAAAUUGCCUUUCUAGCUGUGCUAAGAGUUCCUCUGAAGCAUUGCAAAACAAUGAGGGAAAGAGCCAACAGCUUAUUUCAACAAAAGCGAAUACAGUCAUCAUUGCUCAACAACCUACAUGCAGUCCAAUCAAAAUAUUCGCCACUAGUGCAAAUAACGACAAUGAAAUCAGAGUUUUGGUGCAGAAAGAAUUGGCCGCUCUACAGGCUCAAAUCAAGCACAGCCAGGCAGUACUUGAAUCAUUGGGCGCAGCGUCCCAGGGCAAUGGAAAGAAAGUGUGUGCCUUUAUCCAUCGUACCACUCAGACCUUGGGGCAGGAGAACCAACCAAGGUCACUGGAAUGCAUUGUCACGAAAGACAACAAGUCAGCAAAGGAUUGGAAAAGUCAAGAACUCGCUAGCUCUUGUCCUGCAAUCGUUACGAAUGUCAGCAUAGCUGUUCAAACCGACAAUAAUCGUCAAGUGGGUUUAACGGUAGUAGACGUUCGAGUGGAUUCUGAUGUUGGACAAGAACAAGAUUGCUUCCUACCCCCGAUAAGUUCUUAUGAUUCAGUUAAUACUCAUCAAUCCAGAUCCUCACAUAAAAGCUCUUCUAGCAGUACAGUGGGAUACGAACCCCGUUCGCUAGACCUUGAUUUGGACAUUUAUAGAUCCUGUCGCAAGCUGUCAGUGCUCCCAGAGGAGGAGGUAUGUGAAGCGCCUCCCUCCCCUCACCUGAUGCUGCUUGGAGGCACUCAACAGGCCCACUCGUUCGAGUCCUAUCUACACCCACACACCAACUCAGGCCUGACGGGACCUGUCCGACAGCUGUCCGAUCCCACACCAGCAAACACCACGUCCCCUCCGCCUCGCGUCUCCACCAGACGCCCCUUGCAAAUCCAAACCCCGCACACGCAGUACUUCCGGUUCCCGGACACCAACAGUUUCGAGACCGAUUCCGGCCUCGAAUCGAAACCCACCCGUUCCGGUUCCCGUUCCAGUCCUACCUGUGACAUUGACGAAAGAAUCACCUCCCCCACCUACGGUAUCCUACAGGACACAGUGUCCCAACUUGUCACCUUCUCCCCUAUCGUACAAAACCUAGAGGUGCCCCAUUUCACGUUCAUCAACUCCCCGGAAACCUCCCCCUACAAAACACCCCCGGAAGGCUUUUCCAACAUACAAACCCCCGAGUACUGCAGCACUCCUCACUCAGAAAUCUCCAACGACCUUAGGAAAAAGUCGAUCGAAUCUGUAUCCGAAUCCUUAUCCUUCCAAACCCUCUCUGACAGCUCACCAGGUAACGUCAACAAUCCCAGCUCUAGUCCCUUCGGGUCACUGUCCCCUGUGAAACGAAGCAGUUUGGAAGAUGGUGGUACCCUGGUGACAGAUUUCAAUAAUCCUAAUCCUAGUAAACUGGUUGUGAAACCUCUGCACUCCAUGUUAUCGAUUCUGAUGGAUCCGAAACCGAAGGCCAAACCGGAAAUGACGGAGAGUUUAAAUCGCGCGCCAUCCAGGCGACGCCUCACCAGGUCCCUCAUGAGGGUCAGUUCUCAAACGCCCUUGGAACUCGUAUCAGUCAGAGAGCCAUUACCUGUACAGCCUGACUCUACUUCUUCAUCAGUUGAAACCGUUAUAAGGGCAACCGAUUUGCAUGAAAAGCCUAUUUUCCAGAGAAAAUCCAUCAGCAAUAUUGACAGCCUGGAGGAUUCAGCAUCUUUUGAAACUAUGCAAAAUGAUAGUGUACCGGAGAUCAGUGAGCCUGCCAACUUGAAUCGCAGUCUGUCCGAGACGAGUGCAGCAAGCAGCAAUAUUUCCUCGCAAAGUUUCCCGAGUUUAUCCGACAAUGUGUUGCGACAACUUGGUCUCUGGCUUGAAGAAAAACAAGCCGUUAUAUGUGAUCCUGAGCCUCAAUCAGAGAAAGAUAUUGAGGACAAAUACACAUCUCUUCUGCUGGCUUUCCAAACAGACAAGUUGACUUUGAAUUCGCGAUUAGAACUUCAAAAUCGUCUCAGGGAUCAAGCAGAGCAUAAUUUGAACAUAGAGAUUCAACAGUUACAGGUGGCUGUUACGAAUCUUAUUAGCAGUAGGUCCACGGAGCUAUCGGAUUUACACAACCAAAUAAACACAUUAACCAAAGCAGCUAUGCGAGUCUCCAGUGCCGCUGAGAUGUAUGGAGCAGUUCAGCAGGAGAGCAGAUUAUCGCGAGCAGUAGAUAUUAUUUUGAGUCACGUUGAAAACUUGAAACAAGCUUAUAACAAAGAAAAGACUGAACAUGUUGAAACUAAAAAAGUCCUGUCCGAGAAUAAAUCAAUACCUAAUUUACCAGCAGUCCAAAAAGCUAGAUGCCGAAGAAGGGCGACGAUAGCAGUAGGAGUAGCGCAACUUGGGACCAAUGUCACAUCCCACGAUAAUAAUUCUGCCAUUAAUAGUGCAUCUCUUGUACCAAAAAGGAUGUCACUACCGUAGCAGCUUAUUGAAACGAUGCCAGAGCAGGAUCAUUUUUCGUACGAUCAAGAUUCCAGAGACAACCGCAGCUUUCCAGAGAAAGGUCAAAUUCGGUAGAUAACUUCCAAGGACUUGAUAAACAAAUCUGUGCUCCAACCGAGGAGGAGUCGCAACAAAUCCCAAUUCUACUAAGAAUGAAUCCAAAUGAGAAGAAACUAAUCAGAACAUGUUCGCAUAAGGCAUGCACUUGCGACCAGCCUUCUGAAUCAGAUGUGGGAGAAGAGUCGGACGUCUCAAUUCCUGCGGAGCCCAGUUUAAGUCCCUGCGUCGUUAGCAGCUAUCAUAGCAGGCUGUUGGAUCAUUGGAAUAAUAUCCUGAGCUCCACAGACGACUUGGUCCUUCACGCGCGCUACGGUUUGGCUGGAAUCUUGAUUGUAGCUGCGAUCGCGAUAUUCUGCUCAAUGCUUUAUUUGUAGACAAUCAAAUCAAAUCAUGAUUCGAAAAAAGUGAGACUAGAGACUGCAUUAUUCUGCUUGAAAAAGACUCAUAUAAUUUAUCGAAAACUUUGUUAUUUUUUCAGUCAAUUCAUGGCAAACUAAAUUACACUUAUCUAGCUUUUCCAACUUUGGAACCCAGCCUAGCCUAAAAUAGUGUGGUUUAGGUCCCUAAUUUGACCUAAAAUAGUCUAGGUAAGGUUCGUAAGUUAGUGAUUCAACUCAACGCUCGCCGCGGAACCAUUUUAAAGUAAUGUUAUAGUGUUACUUGUUAUUAGAUCUGUAAAAUGUAUUGUUAUUCUAUGUAAAACUAUCUUUCGAAGCAUUUUAUGUGGACCAAACUCUCAUCAGCCUUCCAACUAUUCGUGAUGUAUUAUUGUAGAACACUUUUAAUAGAACAGCCUUUAUUGAAUUGUUACCUCUUUAAAACGUUUUGAAUGUUAAAUCUAUCAGGUUGGUUAUUAAUUCGUUAUUUUAUUUUAGAAUUUAUAUUUAUAGUUACUCAAUAUCCUAUUUUAACGAUCAACUAUUUAAUUUCUACAUUAUAAUUAUUAAGUGGAAAUUUGACCGUCUCCUUCGUUCAUUUUCUCAUUUUAUUCCUUGUUCUUGGUGUAUUUCUUUUGUUAUUUUACUGAAACCUCUUUAUUGAAACUAUCAUAUUGUUUGGAAAAUUCAAUUGUUUAAAACUAAUGUUAAUGAACUUUAGCCUAGUAGUUUGAAAGAACAUGAUUACAUAAAUAAUAUUAUUGCAGUUGCCUUGCAGCAUAGAAAAAACGUUACAGAAUAUUUUUCAACUAUCAUGUAUAAACUAUAUAGAAUAUUUUCAACUAUCAAUAGACAAUAAAAUUUUAACAGUAAUUGCCAUAGCUACGUUGAAGCUGAAAAAUGUUAUUCAUCUCAAAAGUUAGUGAUAAAAGUCCAUACGAAUAAUUUAUCAAAUUUUACAAUAAACUUUCAAUUGUUAUUGUUAUGACUACGGUAGAUACUACUUAACAUUUUAGCUGACUGUUAAAACAGUAUUAUCUAUUGAAAAAAUUUAUUCCAAUAUCAAAAUAGGUUUAGCAAGUAUUGAAAUGUUACAGAUACUUUACGAUGGUAUCUCUAAAUUGUUAUUAAUAGCUACUGUUAAUAUAUUUUUCUUAUUCUAAAAGUCCAUUAUAAUUUCAAUUUUUCGGCUAUAGUUCAGACAAAUUCUUAUACUAGUUUUUAUAUUGUCCAUGGUAGUAAAAGAUAGAACUCUGAUGUUAUCCAUCGUUAAACAAAUAUAUUCAAUUUUUAAAAUAUUCUUAGUAGAGAAGAGUCAACUAUCAAUUUUCAAUGAAGUGUAGACAGUUUAUGAUCAAAUUCGUCGAGGAAAGAGCAAUCACGCUCUAUAUCUUCUAUGGCUGAAUUGAAACAAUAAUUUUCAGUUAGAUCUUUUAUGAUAAUGUAAUUAAUUUUUGAAAACUAUAUUUGCCUGCCAUUGUAGUUCGCAACGUAGAGAAUCGAAGUUGGGAUUUUUGAGAAGUAGGAUACGAAAUAAACUAUAUCAAGAACAUAAAAAAGUUAUUUAAUACCAUAUUAUAUAUUCACAAUUAAUCAUCGUUACAAGUAAAAAUCAUGAAAUAAUUAUUAAAAUGGUCAAAUCGACCAUGUAUAAAACAUGCACAAGAUCAAAACAAAUUCGUUAAUAGCCAACAGUGUAAUAUAAUUCCAAAAAUGAGUUCCACUUGAAGAAUUCAUUACAACAGUUAGAAUGGAAAUUGUUUCUCAUAAUUUUAAUUUACAAUAGUAGUUUAAACAUGUAGAAUUAUUACAAAACGAAUACUUAUUCUCAUCUAUAUCUAUAACUCUAAUUUUAUAAUUUGUAAAUGUAAUGUUUUAACACAGUCUUAUUCUAAACAUUAAUUAUUAUUCAUUUAUAAUGUUCAAUCCUGUUUGAAGGGAUUGAAGACUUGGAGAAUUCUAUUUCAGAUCAUAAACGAGCUAACAGUUUAGUUAAUUUAUUACAAAAUGAGCCAAUUAUAAAAUUGAUAAAUAUUUAUUGUACAAAAAUUCUGUCACAAUGUUCAUGAAUAAUAAAUUACUUGAUUGAGAAGAUCCAAAUUUUUGUACUGCUUUAGUGUGUCUUUACAUGUUGGCCAUUUAUUGAAAAUUUGUGCUUUAAUAAGCUUAAAUGCAUUACUUCAAUUGGUUAAUAGAUCGUAAGUUGUAUCAAAGAAGAAAUACUAUCCCUCGAUUUUGCAUUAUGUUAGCUAAGCAAUAAAUCAUAUCUCUUGAAACAAAAGAGAUUGCAAUACCGUAAUCAUAAACAAUUUACAAUACUCUUUGAUUUCUAGUUCAAUCUGUUCUCCGUGACUUGAUUAGGAAUUGAGAUUUUAACUUAUGUCCUAACUAUAUAUUUUCGUAAUACAACAAUUUCAAAGUUGAACCAUUUGAACCAAUUGAACCAUGGGAAAUAAGGAAGAACGACUUAAUCAAAUAGUUUGUAUUUAAAACAUCUAGGUACUUCAAAUAUUCAAGAAUAAAUGUAGGCUGGAAAUGCUUGAAUGCCUCUUUUUCAUCCAAUAUCAUUUUGUGGUUCGUGAAAAUGCCAAUCAAUAUAAUUAUCUGAUCUUUUUUCCAAGAGAAAAUAAUCAUUAUUAAGCAUCUAUAAUAUCACUGACUUUCUGGAAUGAAAUUUUAAAAUUAUGCUCAACAAACUAAGUUAAAAAACAUCAUUAUACUAGUACUUUGGUUUAGAUGCAUUUCCAAUUGAUAGAAUAAUUUAUUAAACUCUCAUAAUUUAUUUUUUUCAAAGAACAUAAUAAAACAUUAACAUACUUUGAUUGAAUAAUAAAUUCUUCUCCAAAGUAUCUCAAUUUUAAGUCAGUGGCAAGACUAAUGAAUCGAAUAGGUAUCCUACGAAUAGGUAAAUUUCCUACGAUAAGAAAUUGAUGAUUUUAUAAUUAAUUGUAUUGUUAGUCAAAAGACACAGUAGAACGCUAAUCACCUUAAAUAUUUAUUUGGCAGUGAGGGACAAUCUAAGUGAACGUUCACUCAUAACAGUAUUCCAACUAACUAAUAUUUAUAUAUUUAAAACUAUAAGAUUGAUCAAAAAGUUUAAUAUCCGUAGUUUAUGUUAUGAUUUUAAGGUGUACAAAUGCGUUAUUAAGAAGUAUAAAUUUAUGAAAAACAAAUAGUUUGAUAUCAAAACUCAUAUAAAUUUACAAUUUAGCCAAUAGAAGCUGCAUAGAUUUUAAACAAUUUUACUACGUACCAAUACACCAUUGUUCCUCUAAGGAAAUUCCAACGCAAAUGCCAUUCAAGAAAACCUACGUAUUAUAAUAGGACUUUUCAAAAACAAAGUUCAAGACUGGAAUGUUUAUGGUCCUGAUAACCAGUUUUGCUAUCAUAUAUCAGUGAUAAUAGAACAUUACAUUAUAUCUGUAUGUAGAACAAUCGUGUAGCAUAUAAUAUAACAAUACUCGUUUUUAUUUUCUCUAUGAUGUAGGUUUAGUGGAAAAUUAUCCCUGAACUCCGAAUUUCCACACUACGACUAAAUCUAUAACUAGAUCAACCAAAACUAGUGGAGUUAUCCAGUAAUAGAAUUAUAAAAAAUCUAGCAUACUUCAGCCAUAACACAGCAUCAGCGUGAAGAGAAGGGAUUUUCUUAUUUAAAGGCUAGAUAUGUGUGACAACCUAAACUUCACUCAUUGGCUUUUUCAGAUCUAUCAAUCAUUUAGACAAUAAUAAGUAAACCUCAAAAGUAUUUGUUCGUGUUUUCCAAUGUACUCUUCAUAAUAACAGUCAUUGCUGUUUACUGCGGAUAUCAAGUUUACUGUAAUACAAAUUACAAUCUUUAUCGAUCUCUGUUAUAUUGAGUUAUUUAUAUAGUUGGUAGGUUUCUUCCAAUCUUAAUGAGAAAUUUUCAUAUUAAAACACCUCCCUGAUCUAUUAUUUCCAUCUAGGUAUUUGGAAAAAUCUAUCCGAUUUUUUCGUUUUGCUCGAUUCUGACCAUAACUCUAACACAUACAGUUAAUUUUACACAGAGAAGAUAGAUUAUAUUAAAAUUUUCUUCAGACGCUAUUCUGGUAUUUAUGUUAAUCAAUAAUAUUAUCCUUACAAUCCUUUUAUAAAAUAAAAUUUCUCAAUGAACAACAUACGCUGUAUACGAUUAAAAGUCAAUUCAAACAAGCCAACAAUGAACAUUUCACAUUGAAUAAUAAUGGAGACAUCCUUAGAAAAUACUAACUCUUAAUCAAGAUGCUAAAAGGUCUACAAAAAACCCAUAAAAUAAUUACCUCACUCAUGCAACACAGAAUCUUCCAAUAAAUUAACUUUCUCUUGUGGUAUAAAGAUUAAAAACUAAAUCUAUCUAUAAUACAGAAUUAAUCAGUAUAUUACACUCAUAGUUCCUAUUUUAUGGCUUGAAGUUCAUCGAAGAAAUAAACUUUAGCGUAUAAUUCAUGACGGGUCACGUUCUAGUAAGAAACGAAUCUUAAGAACGGGAAACUCUAGACAAAAUAUAGGUAAUCAUAUAAAUCUCUCUGGUUAUAAGUUGUAAAAUAUCACUACUUAAAUAUGUACAAACAAUAUUCUGAAAGUGAAUGUCUGACUAGAAGACAGAAAUAUUUACAAUAUGGGCUCCUGAGGAUCAGGUAUAUUUUAUACAAUACACGCUGAAACGGUUAUGAUUUUCUCGUGGAAUAAAUAUUGGUCAUUGAUUACUUGGGGGUUGAUGCUUAUGUUUAUGCUUGUUAAAUAUUUUUGCUUCUUUAUGAUUGAACAAUUUAUUAAUUAUCGAAUAGUUGGCAAUGCUUUCAAAUCACAUUAACUGUACAUCACUGACUAAUAUAAUACUGUCAAUAUAAUAAUAUGGCAUUAUCAAAAUAUGAUCCAACAAUGCCAUAAGAGAAUACGUCUAGUAGUUAAAUAGGCUAUUAUGCGCACAUCAAUAUUUUUUUGAUUUGUUCAGAAAGUUCAGAAUUGAAUUUAAUCACUUAACCCUAUUGUAAAAAUAUAUUUUUAUCAAUAUUGAAAAGAUGUUUGUUUACAACAUUUUUGAAUGUAUUAGUACUACUAAAAAGCAUCUGGAAACGCUAAAAACAUGAGGACACUGGACACAUUCUAUUGACUUAACAGCUAUGCUUGAUUCACUAGAUAAAGCUAAUACUUAUGACAGUUUAUAGUGACUCAUAAAACACCAAGCUCUAAUUUAAAAUUUUGCCAAAAUAAUUGAACGAUUCGAAAAUGUACAGAAUUCAAUAAGUGAUAAAAUCAUGAGACUAUUUUGUUUAGUCGAUGAAGAUGAAAAUAUUUCUUUCACAUCCAAAUUCACCUACAAAGUAGCUGGAAUUAAAUUAAUAGGUGUUCAUUCGUGUAUGCAUAUGCAAGCAGGCACAAAGCAGUAGUCUAUGUCUGUAUGAUGUUCCCGGCAUUUAAAGUUCAGUUUUGUUGUUUAGUAGCUUACUUUAGUUUUGUUGGUGGAGUUUUUUUGUUAUUUAUUUAUUAUUAGCCUGUAUACUAUUCAUCUCAUCUAAUAAGUAGGCCUUAGUUUUUUGGAGUAAGAGUUUUUUUUGCUCCAGCUUUCAAGGUUUGUAAAUUCUAUACAAAAAAAACCGUAGAAACCAAUCCGAAAAAA